rnacentral:rRNA from 1 species
AUAGCGUAUAUUAAAGUUGUUGCAGUUAAAAAGCUCGUAGUUGAAUUUUAGGCCUGGUUGGACGGUCUGCUCUAGGGUUUGUACUGUCCUGACUGGGUCUUACCUUCUGGUGAGCUGUCGUAUUGUUUACUCAGUGCGGCAGGGAACCAGGACUUUUACUUUGAAAAAAUUAGAGUGUUUAAAGCAGGCAUUCGCUUGAAUACAUUAGCAUGGAAUAAUAGAAUAGGACUUUGGUUCUAUUUUGUUGGUUUCUAGGACCGAAGUAAUGAUUAAUAGGGAUAGUUGGGGGCAUUAGUAUUCCAUUGCUAGAGGUGAAAUUCUUGGAUUUAUGGAAGACUAACUUCUG